AGCGAACGCUGGCGGCAGGCUUAACACAUGCAAGUCGAGCGGGCAUCCUUGUGGUGUCAGCGGCAGACGGGUGAGUAACGCGUGGGAACGUGCCCUUCGGCUCGGAAUAACUCAGGGAAACUUGAGCUAAUACCGGAUACGUGCGAGAGCAGAAAGGUUUAUCUGCCGAAGGAUCGGCCCGCGUCUGAUUAGCUAGUUGGUGAGGUUACGGCUCACCAAGGCGACGAUCAGUAGCUGGUCUGAGAGGAUGAUCAGCCACACUGGGACUGAGACACGGCCCAGACUCCUACGGGAAGCAGCAGUGGGGAAUAUUGGACAAUGGGGGCAACCCUGAUCCAGCCAUGCCGCGUGAGUGAUGACGGCCUUAGGGUUGUAAAGCUCUUUUCUCCGGGACGAUAAUGACGGUACCGGAGGAAUAAGCCCCGGCUAACUUCGUG
rnacentral:rRNA from 1 species